rnacentral:tRNA from 1 species
GCUUCCGUAGCUUAACGGCUCAAGCACUCGACUUUUAAUCGAGUUAAUGCAGGUUCGAGUCCUGUCGGGAGCA